CUUUUCCCUGCUCCUCUCUCUCUCUCUUGCGAUUCCAGAUCUGGAUCUGGAUCUAGGGUUUUCCUCCAAGGCGAUUCAAGCUGCUACUCAAGGAUCUUACAUCUGGCCCAUUCCCUUCCCUCUCACAAGUCACACAUCUCACAAAACUUCAUCAACCUUCUCUCUCUCUCUCGGCGACUCAUGAACAGAUCUGUGAGGAUUUCACAAGAUCUAGGGUGUUACUUUCAUUCGAUUUCAAAUCCAUGACCGGUGUUACUUUCAUUCGAUUUCAAAUCCAUCACCCCUUCCUAUGACGGUGUGGUGUGCAGAUGGUUGAAGAUGGAUCCCUAGCCGUCGCAUCUGGUGAAGACGGUGGUUUUCCCUAAGAUGGUUGCAGAUGGAUUCCCAAGCCCUAACGAUGUCACAAUCAGAGCUCAUUGAUCAUGCCGAUUUGGACUUUUUAUUGGUAUUAAUCUUUAUGGGUAUUCUUUAAGGUGUUUUUGUUUUGAUUUAUUAAGUGAUUUCAACUAUCUGUGAUCUUAAAGGCACUUUUGGGUAUCUAGAUCCAAAGUACUCCAUGACCGGGCACUUAACUAGGAAAUCAGAUGUUUAAACAGCUCCAAAAAAAAGCGCCCCACAAUGGCUGAUGUUGUGGUUACUCUUCAGCAAUCAUUGGCAUUGCAGGAGCAAUUUGACAGUUCUGCGCAUGCUGCAAGUUCAACGGGGUUCACCUUUAAAAUGCAGUAUCUACUUUUCGGGCCUAGACAUAACUCUGGGGACCCUGACACACAGUCAUCCGUCCAUAAAGGGCGUAUCGAAAUUUCAGCAGUCACAUGUUGUUGGGUCGUGGAGAUUAUGGAGAGGUAUAUAGACGUUGGCUUGAUAAAAAGACCUUUUCCCCUUCAAUGUCUGAUAAUGGACUGAUCAUUGCUGUUAAAAGACUUGAUACAUACAAGUUAAACCUCAUAUGGUAAAGGAGCAGAAGAUGAAACUUUUGGAAGAAUUUAAUGAUCCCAACGUUGUUAUACUGCAUGGAAGAAGAUUCAUUACUCAUUGUAUACGAGUUCAUGCAUCAAGGAACCCUAAAUGAUUAUCUAUUCAGUGUUGAAAGAAGAACAGAGCGGCACCUGUUUAAUUCGAGGGUCAAAAUUGCAAUAGGGAUUGCUCGAGGUCUUGUUUUUUUGCGCACACAGCCUCAACUUAUGGAUUGCUCAUUACAGAUGCACAAUAUAUUGUUGGAUGAGGUAUAAUUUACUGAUCGCACACAAACAAGAGAUUGGACAACUCUUAACUUUGGAGCAAGGAAAACCUCUCAGAGAAGCUAUUGUGGAGGUGGCAUAUGCAGCUAGAUUCAUUGAGUUGUUUGCAGAGGAGGCAAAAAGCGUUUAUUGCGAUAUAAUUCCAUCACCACUGCCUAAUUGUCGCUUGCUUGUUCUUAAAGAUGUGAUUAUUUGUUUCACGUAAUGCUUUUCGAUCAGCUCCUCAUGAUUCCAAUAACUUGCAGCCGGUUGGUGUGGUUGGUGCAUGGUUGGCCCUGCUCUUGCCUGUGGCUGUACUGUGGUCAUAAAGCCCUCUGAGCUCACACCAUUGACCACGUUAGCAGCAGCUGAGCUGGCCCUUCAAUCUGGAAUUCCGCCUGUAAACCCACGUCAACCACAACUUUUUUUUAUCACUCAUCAAAUAAUGUCUAAAUACAUUUUUUUUCCUCUGAAGGGUGUCUUAAAUGUGGUCAUGAGAGAUCCUCCUAGCAUUGGUGAUUCUCUACUAGAGAGCACACAUGUUUGUUUUUAUCAGAUAGUUUACAUUAAUA